AUUGAACGCUGGCGGCAUGCCUUACACAUGCAAGUCGAACGGCAGCACGGGAGCAAUCCUGGUGGCGAGUGGCGAACGGGUGAGUAAAGUAUCGGAACGUGCCCAGUCGUGGGGGAUAACGUAGCGAAAGUUACGCUAAUACCGCAUACGAUCUAUGGAUGAAAGCGGGGGAUCGCAAGACCUCGCGCGAUUGGAGCGGCCGAUAUCAGAUUAGGUAGUUGGUGGGGUAAAGGCCCACCAAGCCGACGAUCUGUAGCUGGUCUGAGAGGACGACCAGCCACACUGGGACGGAGAAACGGCCCAGACUCCUACGGGAGGCAGCAGUGGGGAAUUUUGGACAAUGGGCGAAAGCCUGAUCCAGCCAUGCCGCGUGCAGGAUGAAGGCCUUCGGGUUGUAAACUGCUUUUGUACGGAACGAAAAGGACUGCCCUAAUACGGUGGUCCCAUGACGGUACCGUAAGAAUAAGCACCGGCUAACUACGUGCCAGCCGCCGCGGUAA
rnacentral:rRNA from 1 species